AUUGAACGCUGGCGGCAUGCUUUACACAUGCAAGUCGAGCGGCAGCGCGGGGCAACCCUGGCGGCGAGCGGCGAACGGGUGAGUAAUGCAUCGGAACGUGUCCCGUAGUGGGGGAUAACCCGGCGAAAGCCGGGCUAAUACCGCAUAUGCUCUACGGAGGAAAGGGGGGAUCCGCAAGGACCUCUCGCUAUGGGAGCGGCCGAUGUCCGAUUAGCUUGUUGUGGGGUAAUGGCUUACCAAGGCGACGAUCGGUAGCUGGUCUGAGAGGAUGAUCAGCCACACUGGGACUGAGACACGGCCCAGACUCCUACGGGAGGCAGCAGUGGGAAUUUUGGACAAUGGGGGCAACCCUGAUCCAGCCAUGCCGCGUGCGGGAAGAAGGGCCCUUUGGGUUGUAAACCGCUUUUAGUCGGAAGAAAGGCCUGGGCGAAUACCCUGGGUUUUUGACGGUUACCGGCGGAAUAGCACGGCUAACUACGUGCCAGCAGCCGCGGUAAU
rnacentral:rRNA from 1 species